rnacentral:rRNA from 1 species
UGAAAUUCCUACAUCAUUAAUGCAUUGAAUCCCAUUAUAAAUCCAUAGUUAAACAAACUUGGGCUAUAGUAGUAUUGGGAUGGGUAACCUCCCGAGAAGUCCUAGUGUUUUAC